GGAAACCCUCACUCGUUCUGUCUCGCGCUCGUGAACGAGUGGCGGCGGCAACUGGAAGAUCUCCUCGUCCAGCUUCAGCCUCCUCCGUCCAGCACUCCGACCUCCUCCGCCUGGCGAUGGCGACGCUCCCUGCCCGCCUCCCUCCACGCUCCCUGCCCCGCCUCCGGCUGGGGCAACAGGACCGGGGUCGUCAUCCUACUACUUCCCGGAUCUCGCCUCCGCCUCCAAGAUUUUCACCUUUCGAUGACGACGACGGCCAGGGGAUCAUCCUCAUGUUCCACUAUGUUUAUCCCCUCCUCCUCCUCCUCCUCCUCCUCCUCUUCCACCCAUCAUUUUUGCUUCUCCGUGAUAAUGUCUUCCUACUACACGCACUAACCAGCAGAUGUACAGAUCCAAGAGCCUCUCCUGUUUGAGUUCUGUACCACAAGCACCAAUACUGAACAACAUCCCAACGUUUACAACACAUCAUCCUGACCUUACAAGUGAGCACAACCACCUUUACCUCCUUGUGAUGCUAACCUAUGCACAAUGUUCUUGUAUAUUUCUGAAGAGGGUAAUUUUUUUGUGAGUGGGUUCAUUCUAGGAGGCAGGAUUGAUGCAUUGGUGUUGGAUAUUAGAAAAUGAAAGAAAUGUAAGCAAUGCUUAGUAGUUUAUAAGUGUUCGUAUAAACUAGGAGGCAAUCCAUUUAGGCGUGUGAUGAUCAUUAAUGUUUGCCUUGUCAUGUCUUUGGGUACCCCAGAAGCUACAUUGCUUAUCUAAUACUCCAAAAUUAGUAUCAGUCAAUUGGUCAGCUCGUCGGCAGCAACUGCUUGUUAUUGUACAUGGACACCUUACUCUGGAAAUGUCAAAUGUGAGUUGUUGUCCAUUUCAUUUUGGAAAAACAAGAUGAGGUUCUAGAGUGAUGCUUUAUUGUCUUGCUAUUUACUGAAGAAAGUUUGCAUCCCUUCUGUGCACAUUUUUGUUAGUACUAUGGAAUAGAAGCUAUGAUCCGGCGGCUGUGGUAUCUUAAGACAUGGCACCAUCAUGUGUUGUAAUGCAUCCUGUGGCAGUAGUAGAACGGAAGUUAUAGUACUAUGGAACAGAAGUUAUGCACAUUAUCAUGGACUACCCACAAUCAGUUGAAGGAUCAAUAUCUUUAGUGACUUGCCACGAUAGUAUUUCGGUAUCUCUUCUAUUAUGUAAUACUAGCCAUUAGUACAUGGUUGCUGGCUUGCCGUAGACGGUAGAAGAGAUGUUUUUAUCUUUCGAGUUGGACUUGGACAUGUGGAGCUAGCCAUGAUUUCUUCAAGAUGCAGAGUUUCUUGUUGCCUUGAAGCAACAGGAACAAGGGGCACAACAGAGUCUAGUCAGUGAUAUUUACACCUCAAGUGACAAUGUCAUGCUAUGAAUUAUUUAAACUUGUGUUGACAAUGACACAUAUGUAGUCUUCUGUAGUUUCUUAUGCACGCUGUACUACUAGCAUUUGAUAGCAUGUACUUGGUGUGGAUUUUUUUGAUGUUGCUUUACACAAGGUUCAUAUGCAUGGUCAAUAGCAGGUCUUACCUAGUGCGCAGAGAACUGAAAUAUAAAGGAGGAUCUAGAACUUGUCAUCUUGUAUGGAGAACAAGGAAUAGUAUAGUACAGUUCUGCUUCAGCUUUUCACAAGGAGAGUAGGAUUCUAGAUGCAUCGUUUGUAAGUCUACUCUAUCUAGUUUAGAAGAAAUAAAAAAGAAUCAUUAUAUUUUUCUAUUGAUGUUGCUUUACACAAGUUGCAUAUACAUUGGUCAAUAGUAGUUCUUCCCUAGUGCUCAGAGAACUGAAAUAUAUAUCAGACCAACGGUUCAUAUGCAUUGAUGUUGUUUCUUUUUCAGUUCUCCUAGGCUUUUAUUGUAUGCAGGUGCUCUGACAUUAGAAGUGUUUUGCUUUAUCCGAAGACAUUGUGUUUAGUUGUUGGAUGCCUUUCGGUAAUUAGGUUAUUGGGAAGGUUUCACUCAGAGCAAGAAAGUUCAACCAACAUUGAGCUGUGGCACCUGAUGUCGAAGCCGAGUGGAGAGAAGACUGAGUAGGACUAGUGAUUGUCGCCUUGCUUUGUCGCCCUGUAGCUCAUCUUAUUUAAAAGUGUCUUUGCCUCGGGCAUCGGAACUUGAUAAUUGAGAACUUUUUGUAUCCAACAAACUUGAAACCGUUGAUGCGUCAAUGCCGGUUGUAAUGAUUGAUUUUAUGUCGGUACAUGAAAAUGGUUUGGUCAACACUUGAUCACAAUGAAA